AAGUCGUAACAAGGUUUCCGUAGGUGAACCUGCGGAAGGAUCAUUAACGUAUCUACGACGGGGUUCAAAGCGUCCCGCUCCGGCCCUCCAAAGGCCGUGCAGCGGGCGCCUCCCCGCUCGACCUUCACAAACCCCACUGUGCACCUUUGCGGCGGAAGGGUUCGGGCCGUUUCGGCGGCCGGGUCCCGGAAGUCGCGUCUCCUAAAAACUCCAAAACUAACAGAAUGACAAAGCGACCUCCGAGUCGUCUAACAAACAUAACAACUUUCAACAACGGAUCUCUUGGCUCUC
rnacentral:misc_RNA from 1 species